rnacentral:rRNA from 1 species
AGUGAACGCUGGCGGUAGGCCUAACACAUGCAAGUCGAACGGCAGCACAGUAAGAGCUUGCUCUUACGGGUGGCGAGUGGCGGACGGGUGCGGAAUACAUCGGUAUCUACUUUUUAGUGGGGGAUAACGUAGGGCAACUGACGCUAAUACCGCAUACGACCUACGGGUGAAAGCAGGGGAUCUUCGGACCUUGCGCGAUCGAAUGAGCCGAUGUCGGAUUCGCUAGUUGGCGGGGGAAAGGCCCACCAAGGCUACGAUCCGUAGCUGGUCUGAGAGGAUGAUCAGCCACCCUGGCACUGAGCCACGCCCCAGACUCCUACGGGAGGCAGCAGUGGGGAAUAUUGGACAAUGGGUGCAAGCCUGCACCAGCCCUACCGCGUGCGUGAAGAAGCCCUUCGGGUUGUAAAGCCCUUUUGUCGGGAAAGAAACGCAGCAUGUUAAUACCCCGCUGUUCUGACGGUACCCAAAGAAUAAGCACCCGCUAACUUCGUG